GUUAAAAUAGUUUAUAAUAAAAUUUUGGUCUUGUAAAUCAAAGAUGAUCAGCAUCUUUUAACU
rnacentral:tRNA from 1 species